ACAGGGCAAUUCAGAUGGAGAUGCCAUUCACCACCACCAUGAGCACCUUCCCAUCCAUCUCAUCCUCCUGAUCCUGUGGCUUUUCCUGCAUCCAUGCCAGAUCCCAGCAGGAUGAGGACCUUACAAAGCACACCUCUGCCAGGUGGGACUUAUCUCUUAGGAAGAGCAUAAGCAACCAUCAGCUCUAUUACUGCACUUUCCUCAAUUAUCCACCAUCAGAGGGACUCCCAGCAGGGCCCUGGGUGAGCACCCCAGGCACCUCCACAUGCCUUAUGGGGAUGGCACAGCACUGAAAACUCUCCUGCCGUGAAUAGCUCUAGAACAGGGACCUAGGACUUCAGCGUUUCUGAUGAAACUCAGAAGGUCCCUCCACUGUCCACCUGUGCAAUUGUGGGAGAUGAACUAAAGGGAGGACUAGAGAAACUGCAUGAUACGAUACUUUAAGAUGUUGAACCGCAGAAAAAGACACAGAGCAGAACCUGUUAGAAUCCUAGGUUCUGGAAAUUUUGAGUUGUGUGUCACCACAGGCAGGGAGAUGGAGCUCCUACAUGAGCGGUGGAAAGAGCAGACAAGGAUGCCAGCAUGGAGUCCUGCUGCUGGAAGCUAUGGACUUGACGAUGUAGUAAAUUAAAUCGCUUUUCCUCCUGGCUUGCUAGGGAAAAACC